GGAAUAUAAGAAUCUGUCUCUUAACUUAGAACUAAAAAAGCUAAGAACCGGUUCUUAAAUAAGAGUUUUAAGAGCCGGUUCUUAACUUUUUUAGUUAAAAGUUAAGAGACAGGUUCUUAUAUUCC
rfam:Brassica oleracea var. oleracea cultivar TO1000 chromosome C9, whole genome shotgun sequence